GAUUUGCUCUGGCUCCUAUUUUCACGUAUAAACGAUACAGAGAAGAUUAGCAUGGCCCCUGCGCAAGGAUGACACGCAAAAUCGUGAAGCGUUCCACAUUUUU